GGAACCUACCCUUUGGUUGGGAAUAACCGCGGGAAACUGCGGCUAAUACCGAAUAAGCCCUACGGGGGAAAGAUUUAUCGCCGAAGGAUGGGCCCGCGCCGGAUUAGCCUGUUGGUAGGGUAACGGCCUACCAAGGCUACGAUCUGUAGCUGGUCUGAGAGGAUGGUCAGCCACACUGGGACUGAGACACGGCCCAGACUCCUACGGGAGGCAGCAGUGGGGAAUAUUGGACAAUGGGCGCAAGCCUGAUCCAGCCAUGCCGCGUGAGUGAAGAAGGCCCUAGGGUUGUAAAGCUCUUUCACCGGGGAAGAUAAUGACGGUACCCGGAAAAGAAGCCCCGGCUAACUCCGUGCCAGCAGCCGCGGUAAUACGGAGGGGGCUAGCGUUGUUCGGAAUUACUGGGCGUAAAGCGCACGUAGGCGGCGUGUAUAGUUAGGGGUGAAAGGCCUGGGCUCAACCUGGGAACUGCCUCUAAUACUGACACGCUAGAAUUCGGGAGAGGGUAGCGGAAUUCCAAGUGUAGAGGUGAA
rnacentral:rRNA from 1 species